rnacentral:rRNA from 1 species
UACGUAGGGGGCAAGCGUUGUCCGGAUUUAUUGGGCGUAAAGAGCGUGUAGGCGGCCAGACAGGUCCGUUGUGAAAACUCGAGGCUCAACCUCGAGAUGUCGAUGGAAACCGUCUGGCUAGAGUCCGGAAGAGGAGUGUGGAAUUCCUGGUGUAGCGGUGAAAUGCGCAGAUAUCAGGAAGAACACCUAUGGCGAAGGCAGCACUCUGGGACGGUACUGACGCUAAGACGCGAAAGCGUGGGGAGCGAACAGG